rnacentral:rRNA from 1 species
UACGAAGGGGGCUAGCGUUGCUCGGAAUCACUGGGCGUAAAGCGCACGUAGGCGGAUCUUUAAGUCAGAGGUGAAAUCCCAAGGCUCAACCUUGGAACUGCCUUUGAUACUGGGGAUCUCGAGUCCGGAAGAGGUGAGUGGAACUGCGAGUGUAGAGGUGAAAUUCGUAGAUAUUCGCAAGAACACCAGUGGCGAAGGCGGAUCUCUGGGCCUGUCCUGACGCUGAGGCGCGAAAGCUAGGGGAGCGAACAGG